rnacentral:rRNA from 1 species
UGAGACAGCCAUAGCGAGUUGGUAACACCUGUUCCCAUUCCGAACACAGAAGUUAAGCUUCCCGCGUUCAUGGAUAGUGUCCUAAAAGAUGCAAAACGUGAAUGCUGUCUCAU